rnacentral:piRNA from 1 species
UGCUUAGUGGUGUCUGCUAGGUGCUGUC